AGAGUAAUUAAGGUUUCAAGAUU
rnacentral:snRNA from 1 species